CGGACGGGUGAGUAACGCGUGGGUAACCUGCCUCAUACAGGGGGAUAACAGUUAGAAAUGACUGCUAAUACCGCAUAAGCGCACAGGACCGCAUGGUCCGGUGUGAAAAACUCCGGUGGUAUGAGAUGGACCCGCGUCUGAUUAGCUGGUUGGUGAGGUAACGGCCCACCAAGGCGACGAUCAGUAGCCGGCCUGAGAGGGUGAACGGCCACAUUGGGACUGAGACACGGCCCAAACUCCUACGGAAGGCAGCAG
rnacentral:rRNA from 1 species